rnacentral:rRNA from 1 species
UGUAUAUCAAUAAGCGGAGGAAAAGAAACCAACAGGGAUUGCCUUAGUAGCGGCGAGUGAAGCGGCAAAAGCUCAAAUUUGAAAUCUGGCACCUUCGGUGUCCGAGUUGUAAUUUGAAGAUUGUAACCUUGGGGUUGGCUCUUGUCUAUGUUUCUUGGAACAGGACGUCACAGAGGGUGAGAAUCCCGUGCGAUGAGAUGCCCAAUCCUAUGUAAGGUGCUUUCGAAGAGUCGAGUUGUUUGGGAAUGCAGCUCUAAGUGGGUGGUAAAUUCCAUCUAAAGCUAAAUAUUGGCGAGAGACCGAUAGCGAACAAGUACAGUGAUGGAAAGAUGAAAAGAACUUUGAAAAGAGAGUGAAAAAGUACGUGAAAUUGUUGAAAGGGAAGGGUUUGAGAUCAGACUCGAUAUUUUGUGAGCCUUGCCUUCGUGGCGGGGUGACCCGCAGCUUAUCGGGCCAGCAUCGGUUUGGGCGGUAGGAUAAUGGCGUAGGAAUGUGACUUUGCUUCGGUGAAGUGUUAUAGCCUGCGUUGAUGCUGCCUGCCUAGACCGAGGACUGCGAUUUUAUCAAGGAUGCUGGCAUAAUGAUCCCAAACCGCCCGUCUUGAAACACGGACC